GGUGGUUCUUGGGUGAUGCACCCCAGAAUUGUGCUCCCUCCUCUCUGGUUCUGGGGUGCAUCACCCCAGAACUGCC
rfam:Myotis lucifugus cont2.27219, whole genome shotgun sequence.